UACAGAGGUCUCAAGCGUUGUUCGGAUUCAUUGGGCGUAAAGGGUGCGUAGGCGGCGCGGUAAGUCGGGUGUGAAAUCUCGGAGUUUAACUCCGAAACUGCAUUCGAUACUGCGUUGCUAGAGGGUUGGAGGGGGGACUGGAAUGCUUGGUGUAGCAGUGAAAUGCGUAGAUAUCAAGCGGAACACCAGUGGCGAAGGCGAGUCCCUGGACAACACCUGACACUGAGGCACGAAAGCUAGGGGAGCAAACAGG
rnacentral:rRNA from 1 species